GAAUAGCCAGGUUUAUUCAGCACUGGUGAGGGCUCAGAGGAGUCGCCUCCAGAGUCUGAGCACCAGGCCUUUGUUCUGGGUAACUUUUAUAUAAUACAGACUUCCAGGGCUUAAGAUUUUCCCAUGCAAGCAGCCCCGGCCCUCCCCUUUCCUGAACAGACAGAGUUCCUGCCUAAGGAGCUGGGCAAGCAGGAUUACAAAAGCAAAACUGAUAAGCAAUGCUUGGAGCAUGGUUCGCAGGGCUGCAAGCAAGGACAUAAGGCACGUAGCUGCUCUGAGAUUACAGGAAGUCUGGGAUGUGGUGAGCAAAGUUGCUGACAGGCACGUAGCAACCUUUUCAGCUGGUGGUGGGGGGGUUAUUUCUCUAGUUAAAAACUCUUGUUUCAUUCCCCCCUUGAUGUUCAGGGUGCAUCUGCAGCUGUCCGAGGUCAUCAUCAGUCAUUACCCACUGGUAACCUUUGAUGAGUAGCAAGUGGUUGGCUGUUUUCCAACUAUGGUUUCUAUGAAAUCCUUUACAAUAUUCAUUAGGAGAGGUACAAGGCAGGGAAUAAGUAAGUACCCCACGAGUAUGGCCAUGAUUAAUCCGACCAUUGUCUUAAUUCCUCCUAGCCAGGAGAACCAUCCACUGAAGAGACUGUUUGUGUCCCAUCCCUUCCAAGUCUGCACAGGCACAUGGACAAUUUUAGUCAUGUGGUUGGCAAUUUCUUCUAUCACCUUUUUUGUAUCAUCUAUUUGUAGGCAACAAUUACUUAAGAUAAAUUUUCCUGGAGUUCCCAUCGUGGUUCAGUGGUUAACGAAUCUGACGAGGAACCAGGAGGUUGUGGGUUCAAUCCCUGGCCUUGCUCAGUGGGUUAAGGAUCCGGCAUUGCUGUGAGCUGUGGUGUAGUUUGCAGACGAUAUUCAGAUCCUGUGUUGCUGUGGCUGUGGUGUAGGCCUGCAGCUGUAGCUCUGAUUCGACCCCUAGCCUGGGAACCUCAAUAUGCCGCGGGUGCAGCCCUAAAAACACCAAAAAAAAAAAAAAAUUUGCCACAAACCCCUCCUUCAGAAGCAAGUAAAUAAUCCAAGGCUAGGCAGUUUUGGUAGAUGGCAUUAUACAUUUUAGUUUGUUGUUGGGCUAAUAUAGUCAGGGCCCUUGCUGUGUCAUUUGUUAUAAGCUCUAAUACUGCCUGUAAUCUGAUGAUAUGGUUCAGCAUAAAGAUAGGGGUGUGGUACCCCCAGGAGCCAGCCUCUGCCCAAGUGGUGGGCCCAUAAUAUUGAAUUACUCAUUCUGGGGGCCACUCAUCAUCUUUCCAGUCUCCAAUCUGGAGGGCCCUUCAGUCUCUCUGGGUGCCCGGUGCCCUAUACAUAGGAACACCCAGUUGUUCUCCUAAUGAUAACAGGAGCAGGAAGAAGAAUGGUCUGAUAGUUCCCAGCACACGUGCUCCUGCCUAGAUGGGGGGAGUACGGAAUAUGCCACUUUUCCAAAGAUCCAAUAUAAUCCCUUUGGCGCCUGCCAUUGGAUAUCGGCACUGACAUCGUCCCAUGCCUGCCAGAGGUGGGAAAUGUUAGACAGAGGAUUAGACUUGGGCUUUGAGAGAUUUGAAGAUGCCCACCAUCAAGCCUUUUGGGCAGUUAGGUUAUAAAACCUUAGGCCUAAACACAUUAGGCUCCCAAAUGACACACUGAACCAUCCUCCCCACCUUGCAAGGCAGUUUUUCCCAUAAAAGCAGUCCUGAGAAGCCAUACCCCAUUGGUGGGUUGGAGGUAUGCAGCUUCAUUAUGGGGCUCCAAUGGUCCAGUUGUCUAGCCUGCCAAGGCCAGUGGUCUCCCAUCUUUGCUCCUCUACCUACAUAGCAAGAGGAGAUUUUGAGGGUUUGUGCAAUGGUCUCUGCCAGGGCCAAAAACAAAUUUUUAGUUGUAGCUGAAAUGGGAGGCAGGGUGUUCUUCAUUUCCUUGUAAAAAGAAUGCAAAACCCUGUGAGAGGCAGCCUGGAGCAUAAGUGUGACCUUCUGGAAAUGUAGCAGAGCUCCAGGGUCAUUGCCUCUUCCAUUAAUGCGUAUGCCUAUAAUGAGACCCUCCUUCCAUUUGGGCUCAUUGGAAUUGUAAAUAGUGAAAUUAACUGGGUUUCAAGUCUUAGUCUGACAGUCUGGAGGGGCCAUGUCCUUGUGAAGGACAGUGGUUUUGUCUCCUUUAUCCCAAGUCGUCCAGGAUUCACAGCCCCAGUAAGAGCAAUAGAAGCUCAUGACAUCUUGACCACCAUUCCAGACAGUUGUGGUUGAGGAAUCACACAUAUAUGUAUCUUGGAGCCUAUAUUCUCUUUCCCAUGACAGGCUCCCACAUGGUCUGGUAGAAGUCCAUGACCCAUCCAUAGCUUCACAGGCAUCAAAAACUACAGAUACUAGCAAUUUAGGGUUGGUGAUUUGGGUCCAAUUAAUCAGGUGCCCUGCCUUAUGAGAGCGCCAGACCUCUAACCAUUCCUCAGUUGGUGAGUAUUGUGGAUCAAAGCAAAUAUAUUGGCCAUCAUGGUGACAGAUAGAGUAAGUGGUUUUUUUGUAAGUACAACUUUCAAAUGAGUAGAGUAAAGCAAAGUCCGUGUAACCCCCUGAUCUGAUGGGGUCACUCAAAUGCAUGUGUUGAAAGAGGAAAUGGAUCCUGGCAGGGUAAAGGGAGACAAGAUUAGUAACAGCAACCAAUAAACAUACAUGUCAGGCAUGGGAUAACAGUAUAUGACAGUAAGGGAGUCUCUAUAGAAAAUAAGGCAGUCUAUUUCACUGGGCAGCCGAUUCCUCAAGCUUCAGCUGUGCAUCGACUGACCAGCUUCCAGUGUAGUCAGAGCAGGGCUUUGAGAUUGUUGUCUCUGCCUCUGUAUUGUCAGACAUGGUGGUUUUUCUGGAUCAAGGGCAGCCUUCCAUUCCCCAUGGACAUCAGUCCGGCCAGCCGGCUUAACUCUGGAAUGAUGGAUCCAGGUGUCUAUUCCUGUUACUUUGAGAGCAGUGGGGGUGGUUAAGAUUACAGUAUAGGGCCCUUUUCAUACUGGGUUUAAAGGCUCCUUUUUCCAAUCCUUUAUCCAUGCAUGGUCCCCCAGUUUGUGGGGGUGCACUAUUAUACCUAAGGAUAUGGGUAUUCUAUCUGUGACCCACUUGUGUAUUCCUGAGAUGGUGAGCCCCAAUUCUUGCAGUUGUUUAUGUAAAUCUAAGUCUCCCAAUCUCUGGUGUUUGGCCCCAAACUGAUCAGUGGAGGCAUCCUUCCAUUUAAGAUUUCAAAUGGCGAGAAUCCUAUUCCCGUUCGGGAUGAGCAUCUCACUUUUACGAGGGCCACUGGCAACAUGUCUACCCAGGGCAAGCCAGUUUCCUGACAUAACUUUGCCAGGGUCUGUUUAAGGGUUUGAUUCAUGCUUUCUACUUUCCCUGAACUUUGAGGGUGAUAGGCAGAAUGUAGUUUCCACAGGAUCUGUAAGGCUUUCGCCACUGGCUUCACUGUCUCGGCCACAAAUGCCGGUUGGUUGUCUGACCCAAUGGUCAGAGUCAUUCUGUAUCUGGGAAUGAUGUCUCUCAGGAGUACCUUGGCUACUUCCCUUGCCUUUUCUGUUUGGGUUGGGAAGUCUUCUACCCAUCCCGAAAAGGUGCAGACAAAAACUAGCAGGUAUCUGUAUUCCCUGCUUGGAGUGAUUUCAGUGAAGUCCAUUUCCAUAUCCUUAAAUGGGGACAGUCCACAAUGUUGUGUCCCAGCUGGUCUGCUAGACCCCUGGAGAGCAUUAUUUUGCAAACAAGUUAUACACAGUUGGGAGACAGAGGAUCAGGGUGCUGGAAGAAGUGCAAUGAGGUAGGACUGACCCAGUAAAAUCUCUAAGGCAGUUUUGCCCAUGUGAGUCAAUUUGUGUUGCUGGUGGACUGGUUGGUAGGCCAGCUGUUUUGAAACAUAAGCCCAGCAUCUUGUGUGACCUACCACCCUGUCUUAGUUUUGGUUCCCCCAUCCUCUUUGAUCCAUUUUUUCCUCUUCUAGAGAGUACUUGGGAACAGUCGGCACUUCUGGGGCCAGCAGGACUUUGGAUUUUUCUGGCAGCUGCAGCAACACUGCGGUUUCCUCUUGUCAUGGGGUCACCUCCCUUUCGGUGGCCUUUGCAGUAGAUAACUGCCACUUCCUUAGGCUCCCACACUGCUUCUAGGAGCUUUAAGAUUUCAACCUGGUUUUUUAUCCCUUUUCCUUUAGCAAUAAGGAGUUCUCUCUCCUUAUAUAAGGCUCUGUGGACAUGUAGAGUUGCAAAGGCAAACCAUGACUUGGUAUAGAUAUUGAUUCUGCUGAGCUUCAGUGCUCUGAUUAAUGCCCAUAAUUCUCUCUGCGCUGACCAACCUGGAGGAAGCGCUUCUGCUUCCAUCACUUCUGAGUCAGAUACCACAGCAUAUCCUGCCAUCCUUUUUCCAUCCUCCAUGAAGCUGCUGCCAUCAGUAUAUAGAACUAGGUCUGGAUUUUGGAGUGGUUUAUCAGUUAAGUCAGGUCUGCUGGAAAACACUUCAUCUAGUACCUCUAAGCAGUUAUGGUCUGGGGGCCCCACUUCAUUUGGUAGAAACAUGGCUGGGUUCAGAGUUCAUACAACUUCUAGAUUUACCUACAGAUUUUUGCAUAGUAACCCUUGGUAUUGAGUAAUUUGUGCAUGUGUGAGCCAAUGGUGGCCCCGAUUGUCCAUCAGGGUUACAGCUGAAUGUGGGACUUUAACAUUGAGGUUCUGUCCCAGAGUCAACUUGUCAGCUUCCCUUACUAACAAGGUGGCAGCUAUCAGUGCUCAGAGGCAGGGAGGCCAUCCAGCCACAACUGAGUCAAUUUGCUUGGACAAAUAUGCCACCGGCCUCUGCCAAGGCCCAAAUUCUUGGGUUAGGACUCCCAAGGCCAUUCCAUUUUCCUCAUGAACAAAGAGGUUGAAUUUUAUGAUUAUGUCGGGAAGCCCUAAGGCUGGAGCCUCAUGACUUUGGUCUUGAUUGUCUGAAAUGCUGCCUCCUUGCUCGGUCCCCAUUCAAGGGGAGCCUUUUCUUUCCCUUUCAGGUCCUCAUAUAGAGGUCUGGCCAAGUCUGAAAAGCCAGGGGUCCAUAUCCUCCAGAAUCCCGCUGCCCCUAAGAACUCACGAAACUUCCAGCUGGUGGUAGGGACCAGAAUGGCACAAACUGUGUGUUUUCUUUCAGUCCCCAACAUUUGUCAGCCCCGUGUGAUGUUAAAACCCAGAUACUUGACUUGUUUCUUACAGAUUUGUGCCUUUUUCUUUGAUAUCCAAUACCCAGCCUCCAUUAGUAGGGAGAGGAGAACUUUUGUUCCUUCUAGGCAUUGGGCCUGCAUGGUGCUGGCUAGCAAGAGCUCAUCAACAUACUGUAGCAAAACACAGUCUAGUUUUUGUCCAGGAAAUUCAGCCAGGUCGGAGGCCAGGGCACCGCUGAAAAGAGUAGGAGAGUUUUUGAAUCCUCAUGGGAGUCUUGUCCAAGAGAGCUGCUCCUUUGUCCCAGUGUGUGGAUUUUCCCAUUCAAAGGCAAAUAAGGGCUGACAAGCAGGUGCCACUCAGAGGCAGAAAAAGGCAUCUUUAAGUCCAGGCAAGUGAACCACUUGGCAGUGGAAAGGAUCAGCCCCAGCAGGGUAUACGGGUUUGGCACGGACAGGUGCAAUGUGACUCUUGCUUCAUUUAUGGCCCUCAAGUCCUGAACCAGGCGGUAGUCUAGUUCCUGGUUUCUUUAGGCAAUAAGGGGGUGUUCCAGGGUGACUGGCACUUUAUCAAAAGCCCGUGCUGAAGUAGCCUGUCCAGGUGCACCUGGAUUCCCAGUCAAGCUUCUCUGGGAAUCAAGUACUGCCAUAGCUUUACUGGUUGAGCUCCAGGUUUCAGAUCAAUCAAGAUAGGAGUGUGGUGUCUUGCUAGUCCUGGAGGGUUUCUCUCAGCCCAAACCAGUGGGUACUCAGUCCCUAGUUACAGGGGAAUGGUUCCCUCUUCUGGAGGGGAAGAGUAUAGACACCAUUCUUCUUCCCACCUUAUGGGAAGAGCUAUGAUUAAAGGAGAGGGAGAUUCUGUUAAUUUGAGUUGAGCUGAUCCAUCAUUGGAGGAGAUUUGCACCCCCAUCUUGGCCAGUAGGUCCUUCCCAUCAAGGGAAAUGGGCAGUCAGGUAGGUAAAGAAAUUCAUGUACUACCUCAUGGCCUCCUAACAGCACUAUGGGGGACUGCAGAAGGGCCUGUGUGUUUGGGGAUCUGUGGCCCCUAUGAUGGUAGUUUCUUUUCCCAAGAGGGUGGCCAUGGAUUAUGUGACCACCAUAUGUUCACUACCUGUAUCUAUCAUAAAGUCUCUGGGAUGGCUUCCUACUUGAAUUUUGACCAUAGGCUCUCGGGGACCCAGUUAGAGAGAGACUGGUUCCCCCUACUUGGAUUCUGCUUCAUCUAAGCUGAUCAGAUUUGCGCUGGAUGGCUCGGGUUGGUAUCAGCUAGGUGGGGGUGCCACUUUGGUCUUUCUCUCUGGACAAUUGGGGCAUUCAUUUUCCCAGUGUCCCUUUUCUUUACAGUAGGCACACUGAUAAUGUCCGAGGGGGCUCCUUUUUCCUGGCCUUGGCCCCAUGACUUAUGGGGUGGUCCCACUAGGGGUACCAGUUUUGACAGGGCUGCCACUGAAAGCAUGGCUUUUUGUUUCAUUCUCUUUUCUGCAUCGGGGUGGGCCAUUUGGUCAUGGCUAAUGAAAACUUUGUUGGCUAUUUCUAGUAAUUCAGUGUCUUUUUUUUCCUGCAAAUCCUUCUAAUUUCUGUAACUUUUUAUGAAUGUCUGAUUGGGCUUGUCCCACAAAGGUAGCAUGUAUCAUCCAUUGGUUUUUAGGGGCUUCAGGACCAAAAGGGGUGAAGAUCUGAAAAGCCUCACGUAGUCUCUCAUACAAGUUGGCCCGGCUUUCAUCCAGCUUUCGCAGCACCUCAGUGGUCUUGACCAUGUUAGGCUUUUUAGCCCUGGCUUUGACCCCCUGUAGGAAGGCCUGCCAGUAUCUCUCCAAAUUAUUUCUUCCCCUCUUCGGUGUCAUGAUCCCAGUGGGGGGUCCUUCCCCCAGGAAGUCUUCCCUUGCCCAGUUUGCCACAUCUAGUUGAUCCCCUGGGGCACUGGCCUGGAGCCAUUUCUGGCCUCCUGUUAAGAUUCGUUGGUGUUCCUCAGUGUUAAACAAAGUGAGAUGACCUGCUGACAGUCUACCCAGGAGGGGCAGUGUGUCUGGAAAAUGGAUUCUAAGAGGUCAAUCAGUGCCUGAGGCUUUUCAGAGUAAGAGGGUAUAUGUUGCUUCCAGUGGAGGAGGUUUGUCAUGGAAAAGAGCUGGUAGUAAAAGACUGGUCCCCCCUCUUGCAUGAUCCCAUCAGGGGCAAUAGGCUGUGGUCCCCACAUCUCCUGUAAGGGCAUUUGUAGCUCUGAGGUGGCUCCCUGGGUCUACCAGAGAUGCCUGCUCAUCAGUUCUGGUGAUCCAGCUGUGGGGGUGAUAUUGCCUUGGGGACUUCAGGAGGAGGAGGAGAAGCAGAAGGUGGUGGGCUGUCUCGCAACUGGGGACCUUCAGCCUCCAAAGGAGGGGCUGGUAGUGCAUAAGGAGGUGGCUCAAGGGGUGAGUCCUUGGCCUCUCCUUGAAAAAUAUGUGGCCCAUUUCCUAGAGGCAAAGUUUUCUUCUUAGACUGAGCUACUAGGACCUUACACUGUCCCUGGUCUGUGACACAGAACCCAACUAAAGAGGGCCUUAACUGGGCAACUUCUAGCCAUUGAUUGAUGUACAGAAAUUGGUCUGGGUGUCCUGGGUCUCCUGUUACUAUAUACUGCUCAAACCAUGGGCACGUCUAAGGUCCCUUCCGAUGGCCAUCCAACCCUGAAGGAGGGCCACUCCAGGGUACAGAGAGUGAGCACUUUUCCAAAACUCAGUUUUAUACCAUAAUCUCCAGAAAAUUCUUUCUUAAAAUUCUUAACCAUACAUUCUAGGACAGUGGGUUUUGAGGCCAAUGUACCCAUUGUGUGAAUUCCCGCACUGUGAUGAUGUUAUAAGACAAACAGUAGGGGGAGCACUCACUUUCAUUGGUCUGAUCGCUCCCCUCUCAGGGGUUUAAGGUGUCUCUUAGUGUGUGGCUGGUCCAUAUAAACCCUGGGCCCAGACCAGUUUCGCAGGGAGGGAAGAGAACUCUCAGAACCUGAGGCAGCCUGUAAGCCUUAUGAGGUCACCAUGGAACUGCAGGUUAGGACUCACUCAAGCUCCGGUGGAGCAUGGGCUCUUGUUCUCUCCAGUCACUCACACACACACCAGAAUUGACACACCAUCUGAUCCUGAGGGAACAAAUCCUGUCCUGAGUGACCCUCUGGGCACUGAGAGAUGAUCAGUCUCUCCAUGCCCUGUGUGGCGGGUCCUGACCCAGGGCACUCACCAGUCUGACGUCCUGUCCUGGAACCUGUUUCUGCUCUCCUUCUGAGUCUGUUUGGGAAGUGGCAUGAGCCGGGGCUGGCACAGCCCAAGUGAGAGUUAGGAUCC
rnacentral:lncRNA from 1 species